rnacentral:rRNA from 1 species
CAGGACGACGCUGGCGGCGUGCCUAACACAUGCAAGUCGAGCGAGGAGAUCCUCGGGAUGAUCCUAGCGGCGGACGGGUGAGUAACACGUGGGCAACCUGCCUCAUAGAGAGGAAUAGCCUUCCGAAAGGGAGAUUAAUACCUCAUAACAUUGCAGUUUCGCAUGGAACAGCAAUUAAAGGAGCAAUCCACUAUGAGAUGGGCCCGCGGCGCAUUAGCUAGUUGGUGAGGUAACGGCUCACCAAGGCGACGAUGCGUAGCCGACCUGAGAGGGUGAUCGGCCACAUUGGGACUGAGACACGGCCCAGACUCCUACGGGAGGCAGCAGUGGGGAAUAUUGCACAAUGGGGGAAACCCUGAUGCCAGCAACGCCGCGUGAGUGAUGACGGCCUUCGGGUUGUAAAGCUCUGUCUUCAGGGACGAUAAUGACGGUACCUGAGGAGGAAGCCACGGCUAACUACGUGCCAGCCGCCGC